GUAGCAUUUGCUCAAAUUGGUAUGAAUAAAACUUUACUUUACUCAGCUUGGACUGUAGCAAGUUCGAAAUUCGAACAUAGCUUUUGCUCCGUCAAUUAUUUGUCAACAUCAUAAUUUUCGGGUAGUAAAAAAUUUUAAGUGGAAUCAAAAAAAUUGUUUUAAUUAUUUCGUGAAGGAAAAAGAUAUUUGACCCAAACUCUAUCGAACUAAUCACUAACAACCGUCAACAACUACACAUACAGUAAGAAAUCAUGCCGUGACAACCGGAGGUUGUAUUUUCUAAUUUAAGUACGAUUUACACGAUACGUCAGGCUUCUGUCAAAGUCAAAGGAACGUCAACAUUAGUUACAUGCAGUUAAAUGGAUGUAUUCACACAACAUCAACGGCACGAAUGUUUCAAGGUACGGAACGUGUAAAUGGUUAAAAGAGAAACGCAUUCAACUUAUCCUAGCGGAACGAUGACGUGACUUUGACGAUGUGUACACAAGACACAGUUGACGGUGCUAGGUGUUGGAUUAAGUCGUGGUAGACACGUUGAUUUAAUGCAUUUAGUACGCUCCAUUCGUUGGGCAGUAAAUGGAAAAGCAGCAUCCCAGACCUAAACCGAAUUGGCUUAAAAGUGCAGUUAAGUAGUGAUGAAAGAUAAGGCACGAUAUAACGGAACAGCAGCAUCGAUUUCAUCACCAAGGACUGUUAUGACACCUACUGGCUAGAGCAUCAAUAGGGAAAAACAACUGGUGCAGGAUAGUCCCAGUAUUUAUCGUGGAAGUGCCCCAUACAAUGCACAUGUAACAACGUUUAGAUUGUUUGUUUUUCUUGCGGUGCAAUACAAUCAUUGAUUAUAUUUAACAUAACGCUAUGUGCAUCCUGGACGAUUACUGGUGGAACCUGUACUGCUGCUAUACGCAUAACUGUCCCAUGUGUAUAGGAAAUCUCAUAGCACAUGGGACAGUUAUGCUUAUAGCGGCUGUGUAACUGGUGCUUCAUUGAAUCUCAAUUGAGCUGCACACAGGCAGCUGUUCUAAAGGACGAUUCAGACGAUACAUCAGUUUCCGUCAACGGAACGUCACCGUUCCGUCAGGAUAAGUUAGAUGCGUUGCUCUUGUGUUCGUUCACACGUACCGUACGUCAAAACGUCCCAUGCCGUUGAUGUUGUGUGUGAAUGCCUUCAUUUAACUGCAUGUAACUAAUCUCGUAUGCAUCGUACGUCAACGCAUCGUUGUUGUCGAAUGUGAGCAACUAGCUGGUCGUGUAAUUAGACACAUCGCUCGUCUAAGGACAGCUUUAAUCUAACGUUUCAUUAAGCACAAGAUAUGUUCUAUUACUCCAUGUUGUAAUGUAGCGUAAGCGUAUAACCAAUGAUUAGCAUUACCGAAAUUGGACGAAUAUACUGGGUGUUACAUCCAUUACAAAUGAGGAUGUUAUUACUAGCAGAACAUAGGUCGAUAAGCACUAUACUUGUGUGUGAGCGUAGGAGGCUCAGAUGUUUGGAUGUACGAAUGAAUUGAAUGAUUUUUUCAUGAUAGCAUAACAGAUUUGGUGGAAAACCAGAUUCUUCUAAAACAAUAACGAUAAAUCAAUAUCCAGUAAAAAAGUAAAUAAGAUUUGAAAAUAUUGAACAAAGAAAACAAGUAUAUGUAAUUAAAUAGUCUUGAAAUCCAAAUAAACAAAAAUAUAUAUAUUUUCGUUAUUGAUGAAUGAAAGAUCCGAGAUCAGAGUUGCAAAAUUCACAAUGGCGGAUUAUAGGAUACAAGUAUAGGGUAAGGAGACUAUUUUCACUCUGUUUCUAUAACACCCUACGCGUUUGAACGCGUUGGUUUGAUCAGCGCCUGCCAUCUUUGCCCAAACCAAUGGCUCAAAUGGUAGUGCGGCACUCGCUUCGAGUUUUCCUUGUAUUCAAGCGCGGGUUUUUCGCCUUUGUUAGAUCAGUUCUCGACAAACAUAUGAUUACGGCCUAAAAGCCAACUGUCAAAAUCCACUUUGAAUGGAAAUUCCGGACAAACCGUUAUUAGCCGAACACAGUUCACAACAGUUUAUGAAAGAGAAAACUUUUCUCUUUCGGUUACUAUAAACUUCUGUGAUUGGCGCGUAACGGUUUGUCCGGAAUUUCCAUUCAAAGUGGAUUUUGACAGUUGGCUUUUAGGCCGUAAUCAUAUGUUUGUCGAGAGUUUUAUUAUUUUGUUGGGUCUUUAGAACGAAGCAAAGAUGUUGAUGCCUAUUUAUAUGUAUUCCAUCGAUUGUAGACCGAGUAAUUGAUUAAGUAGUGCUGUACCUUUCUAAUAGUGUUAAAAUAAGCUCUUACUCUAAUUAAGAGAAAAUAAAACAAAAAUCAGAAUAAGUCAUCAAGACUUGCAUAACUCUGAAGGGGCCCCUUCUGUCUGCAAGCGCCGUUUUAUGCAUAUACAUGCCAUGUCAACUAAAUGUGGCCUGAAUGGGCCAAAUCUACUUUGCAUUUCGAAAAAUGAUAUUGGAAACAUAUUUAUCUGAUUUGAUAUGAUGAGAAAUUGCAUUAAUGUAACCAAGUAACCUCCAAAUAGUUAGGAAGAGUAAACUCACGUCAAAAUAUGGUUAUUAUAUGCAUGGCUUGACAUAGAUGUCUCAAGUACUCAAAGAAAUUCGGGUAGUCCACUUUUAUCUGUUGCACUCUAUCUUAUAUCCAAACUAUCAUUUCAUGACUUGUUACUUUUUUAUAUUAUUCGUAAGCUUAACUGAGCCGUGUUAUAUAUUUCGCCGGCUGGGGUCCACUAGGAGGUUGAUAACAGUCUAUUAUCUUUCUCUGGACAAAUCCACCUAGAGGCCGUGUGGCACCCAGCGGGUUGAAUUUUCUCAACCAAGAAUUGAUCCACUGUGUUUUUGCUCCCAUGUCGUAUGAGGCGACUUAAAACAGGAGCCCUCGGGCUAUUCUCACAGUCACGUCACCUAGUGACUAGAAGAAAAUUUCCUUAUAUUCACUAAGUGACGUGACUGUGAGAAUAGGGCCCCUCAUGUCAAGUUGUUUCCCCGUGCCGAGGACUGAAUGGCUGGGAAGACUAAAAUAUGCCAGUCGCGCACGGAGUGUCGUAAGUCUUAAGCUUACCGUGUUAAGCGAGUCUCUGAUACAGUGGAAGUUUGUUUCUUCGCAAAUCGUGGAGAUCAAAUGGUGGUCAUGUCCCUAAUAUACAUUGCGGGGUUCGCUAUAGACGAUUAUAAGCCACAAACGCUGAUGAUGAAAUGUAUAGUGCUGUGAUCAAGUAUGGUUAGAGCAACACAAAUUAAUCUUUAGCAUAAACGUACAGCAACUAU